GUGGGGCAUGAGCCGUCACGGGUUGGGCUGGACUGAGAGCAUCAGAACCUUGCUGCUGCCCUGGCCCCACCUUGUCCAGCACAGGAGGCCCAAGCCUGGGUUGUCUCCCCUCUCACCCACCCAUCUCUCCCUCCCAAGGAAAAAGAAGUGUGACUACUGGAUCAGGACUUUUGUUCCAGGUUCCCAGCCCGGCGAGUUCACGCUGGGCAACACUAAGGGUUACCCGGGAUUAACGAGUUACCUCGUCCGAGUGGUGAGCACCAACUACAACCAGUAUGCCAUGGUGUUCUUCAAGAAAGUUUCUCAAAACAGGGAGUACUUCAAGAUCACCCUCUACGGGAGAACCAAGGAGCUGACUUCGGAACUAAAGGAGAACUUCAUCCGCUUCUCCAAAUCUCUGGGCCUCCCUGAAAACCACAUCGUCUUCCCUGCCCCAAUCGACCAGUGUAUCGACGGCUGAGUGCACAGGUGCCACCAGCUGCCGC
rnacentral:sRNA from 1 species